rnacentral:lncRNA from 1 species
UACAGUUCAAGCGAUGGCUCCAAAGCAUGGAAGAGGAGUGAGCACUUGUGUCGGAGGAAAUCCUAUUGACAUAACCUCAGGUUGUUACACUUUUCAUCUUGUUUGCUGAUUGUUUCCUUUAGUGUAUGUUUUGUUCAGUUUGAUAGAAGUUUAGAAUUGUUACGCGGUGUUGGCUGGCUGUUAGUCUGAUAUUAAUUCAGAAGCGUUGAUUUUCCUUGGUAUAUGUUGUGUUCAGUUCUGGCAGAAGUUCAGAACUGUUAUGCAGUGUUGGCUAUUACUGUGAUAUGAAUCUACAAGUGUUGAUUUUCCUUGGUACAUGUUGUGUUCAGUUUUGGCAGAAGUUCAGAACUGUUAUGCAGAGUUGGCUCUUAGUCUGAUAUGAGAUGCACAUAUAUUUUUUGCAUCUUAUAUAGGCAUUAUGACAUGUAUCUCUUGUGCCAUGCUUCGUUACCAACUAGUUAGAGAUAAAUCAAUUCAUUCGGCUUUUGCUCACUGUUUUUACUGUCCUGUGUUGCUCAUACUAUACGUACAGCCUGUUGUUGAACUUUCUUACCCUGACGGCUGUAGUGUAAAAAGUGAAAAAAAAAGACAAAACCUAGCUGAAACUUUCUUGCUUUGGACAUCUAGUGUUAGCACUCUUAAGUAUGGAGCCUUGAGUCAAGAGCUUCUUGUAAUUGUAAUGACUAAAUAAUGGCUGUGUAUCUACUACUGUCGUAGAGGUGACUGAUUUUGUUCUGUACAUUAUAAUAGCACAUGCAUGUGUGGAGUCCUGUUUGUUUCAUAUCUACUGCCUGCCAUCAUGUGCCAUAUUUUCUAAGUAGAUUAGCACACGAUCAGUGGUUUUUAGCAAUUUUCUCAUGCCCAUGUGUGGUGUGGUAAACAUAGGACGACACACUAGUAACUGCACAACUCUGAAAUGCUAUUGAUUACUCAUUGUUACACAAUGCAUGCACCUACAACUACCGGGAUUUGUACUGGUUACUAAAUGAUGUGUGUUUUUCUUCAGUUUGAUUGAAAAAUUGUCCCCCUUUUUGUGCAUGCAUACAUCUGCCCACUAAGCCACCAAACAUGUUGUAAGGCUUAAUCUAUCAAUGGUGUGACUCUGUGUUUACACUGUCUCCUGGUAGAGUUAUUAUGCUUGGCUCUCUACUCUAGUAGUGCUGUCUGUAGAGGCGACCGUGAUUUUGUUAUACACAUGAUGAUGUAAGUAUGGGCUGCUGUUUGUUUCAUAUGUACUGCCAUCAUAUAAAUGCCUGCCAUGUUCUUCAUCUCCCCUCCCUCUGAUUCCUUCUGCCUGCGUUUGUUUUGUGUCUCAGAUUUGUAGAAGCUGCCGCUGCUGUAGGUGGAACAGGAAGAAGCCCUCAUGGCUGCUGCACAUCUGAAGUGGUGAGCGCCACCCCAUUUUUUGGUACUAUGAAGUGUUAGUUGGUACUGUGAAGUGUUAGUUGAUGGUUGGUUAGUCUGUUAAUCAAAGUAUUCUUACAUGCUGUGAAUAUAUACUGCAAACACCAGAGUUGAUCAUUAAAACAUAUGUCGCUCCUAUUUUUUGUGUGAAAAUGUACUAGUUAUCUGCAAUAAAAGCUAGACAUGAACCAACUCUUGCUUCUAAAGGAACAUAGUAUAAAUUUAGACCUUGUGUCUGAUGCUAUAGAUUUAUAAAUUUUGAUUUAUCUUAUUCCCGAGCUGGCACUAUAAAUUUUGCUUUGUCUUGUUGAUAAUGCCAUAUGCCUUAUGCAAUCAGAUUACAUUUCUGUUUGUUAUGGUAAUAUAAAAAAUAUUCGUGCUUUCAAAAUUUUCACAGUGCGUGUUUCCCUUGUACUCAAUAUGCUUCUAUUGGCUGAUCCUUCCAUUUUUGUUGUGGCAUCUUUACUUUCACAGGUGUUUUGUGUUCUGGAAGAUGGAAGAGGAAGAAAACUUAUUUUUGCUGAACUAAAUUUUCUGUAUUCUGUUUUGUUGUACGUAUCAUUUGAUAGUUUUGUAUAGGAACAAGUGAUACUAUUUUGUACGGCUUUAUGGCCUGUGAUGUAAACAUAUUUAGUGCUGAAAU